GCGGAGGCCACGGGGCCCAGGGAGGUCAGGGUCUCGUGGCGCCCCCCGCCCAGGGACCGGGCGUAUGGCAUCAUCCUGGGCUACUACCUCGGCUACACGCCCGUGCUGCUGCAGAGCAGCGCCUCCGGCAGCCCCCAGUACAACUUCACGACGGUGGAGAGCUCGGAAGGCGGGCGUUCUGGGCCUGAGGGUGAAGGCACGUGGAGUGUGACGGUGAGCAGCCUCGACCCACACACCGACUACCACGUGGUCGUCCAGGCGUACAACACCGAGGGCGCGGGGCCGCUUAGUCCCCCGGCGACGGUCACCACGAGGGAAGACGCACCCGGCGGAGCUCCCCAGGAAGUGAGAUGCACAGGCCUUUCGUGGGACAGCGUGCAGAUCAGCUGGUCUCCUCCUGAACCCCACCUUCAUCACGGCACGUUAAGGG